UUGUCGAUGUAAAGAAGAAAGCAAAGAAAGGGAGAAGAGGGGGUCGGGGCCGAGAGAGAGAGAGAGAGAGAGGAGGAAGAGAGGGCGUCGGCUACCGUGGCCGACCGCCGGGGCGCGGCACGCUGGCCGACGGAGCGACUUGCGCUGUCGAGCGUGGCGGCAACGAGCAGCGACGCCAGACAGCGAGAGAGACGCGAUGGCGGCAGCGGAUUCCGGACUCCAUUCCGGGCGUUCCCGGCGGCGUUGGCAACCGAGUAGGAUGGCGAUCUACUCCCUUCGGCUUGGGCUUCAUUUUGGCGGCAGCGGAGACGCAAAUAGUGGCCGGAGUUAGAAGUUUGCGAUGGAGAGAGAAAGUGCGUGGCAGCCGCAUUUUCUGGCUUUUCCGGCGAGCUCCAGCGAGGGAUAGAUGAUCGGAGGACAUAUCCGGACUCCCCUCAGCUCAAGCUUUCCAAUGGCACCGGUUUCAUGGCGAUCAGACUCCGUUCAAAAAUCGACGGCCGAGAUCGUCCGUAAAUCUGUCCGGAUGAUCGGGGGUCGGAUCGAAAGAUUGGAAGUGGGGAUCGUCAUCAGCGCGUCGUUUCGAGUCCGAUGGUGCAUUCGGAUCGUCGAUCGGACUCCGGCGGUUGGAGGCGAGUCGACCGAGCGAUCAAGCGUCUCGAUAAUCCGUCAAUUCGGCUCGCUCCACUCGAGGCAUCGUAGCAGAGUUAGGAGGUCGUUAAAGUUGAUGAGACAGCAGUGGAUCAUACUAUUUGAUGAGUGCACCGGUAUAAAUCCAAGAUUGAUAGGCAAAGGGUAAAAUGGUAAAUUGAAAAAGAAAAGUUUAGGACUUGCCCUGGUCGAGCAUCGCUCUCUGGGCUUAAUAGAGUGUGUUUGCCGGAAUAAAGGUCCUUGGUCGAGCAUUGCUCUUUGGGCGCCGGCUUAUUUAGAACUUAAGUGACCAGACUGAAGUUAAAGACCUUGGUCGAGUUUCGCUUUCUGGGCGCCAGUCUUUUUGGUGUAAGAGAGCCGAAAGGCUAAGAGUGUUAGUAAUAAUUAAGUGUCUGAACUGCACUUAAGGAUCCUGGUCGAGCCUCGCUCUCUGGGCGCCAGUUCUGUUAGAAUGAGAGAGAGAGUCGAGAUGUUCAAUGUUGGAAUUAGGGAAUUAUGCCGAGAUCUGUGAUUGUUAGUUUUUCCGCGGCUCUUAUCUAGUAACCCGACUCCUUCAUCAUCGAGUGAUGAAAUUGGUUUGGUAUGUUAACUUAUAAAAUCUUAAAUUCUUCGCAGCAGAAAUAAUAGACUUGUCAAUUGUAAAUUAUUGUAGUUUCGGGCCUUGCCUAAUUCUUAGGGCAGACCUAAUUAAUUAUGUAGAAUUUAAUGGUUAAGAUAUAUUAUGACAUCAGUAAUAUCAAAUGAGAUCUAAUUAAAUUAA